UGCCUGUAAUAUUUCCGUAUCAUUGACCGCCAUCGACGUGACGCGCUGCAUAUAACUUAGAGAAGCGGGGAAGAAGGUUCGAUGAGACGAUGGCACGAUGCGACGAUAGGGAAUCGCGAGCAUAAAUUUCCAUGUUUCCAUGUUUUUUUGCUCCGUGGAGUGUAUGUGCUGGACAAGCCCGCAUUUUGGGGAGGGGAAAUUGUUUCCGCCAAUCUACGGAUGUUUGUGUGCGAUAGUUGCCUGGGGAGCCUGGAGAUCGUGCUGAUCUGGGGAGAUUGAAUGAGAUGAUGAUAUAAUCGUCGAUGAUGACGAUGUGACUGGUGGGUGGGUGAUAGUUAGCAAGGAACCCCUCGUUAUCGCAAGACAUUUAAACCCAUCAUGAACGGGAACUAUUGCAGAGGUGCUUCAAUAAUGUUGGUCAAUAAUAGUAUAGGAGAGAUAGUAUGGUACUGCUCGUGCGAUUACCAGAGAUACUUGUUCACUCCAUCACGCAGUUACAGUUAUUAAUUUAACUAUUCUCAGAUCGAUCCUGUUUCAUCUUGCGCUACCACCAC
rnacentral:sRNA from 2 species